rnacentral:lncRNA from 1 species
GGAAGACGCAUCCGAGAGCUCCGAGCAUGGCCCACCUUGAGUGGAUCACCUCAAGUUCACGGUUCUUGGCGAAUGUUUCCGGGUCGGCCGAAAGCCCCGCGGUGUCCCAGCCGUAGUCACCGGGGAAUUCCCCGCUGAGGUAGCUGGGGGCCUCGCCGGAGAAUGGGCCCAAAUACUUGACACGGUCCGGGCCGUACCACGGGCUCCCGGACGAAGCGGGCUUGGGCUUGGGCUUGCCUGCGGUCUUCCUCAUUGAGAUCCUGCCGCCGGAGCUGGCGAAUUCGGGGGUCGACUUGACCGCCUGGCCGGCGAAAGACGGAGACGAUAGAGCCAUUGAAGAGGCCGCCAUUGAAGGAAGGGGAGUGUGUUUUUUUUUUCUUUUUGGGGUUUGUGAGUUGAAAG